rnacentral:rRNA from 1 species
UAGGGAACCUUCCACAAUGGACGAAAGUCUGAUGGAGCAACGCCGCGUGAGUGAAGAAGGGUUUCGGCUCGUAAAACUCUGUUGUUAAAGAAGAACAUAUCUGAGAGUAACUGUUCAGGUAUUGACGGUAUUUAACCAGAAAGCCACGGCUAACUACGUGCCAG